UCUGCAGGCAUAUGCCUUUAAUUCCAUAGCAUCUAAUUUGAUUCUGCAGGCAUGUGCCUUUAAUUCCAUAGAAUCUAAGUUAAUUCUGAAGACAUAUGCCUUUAAUUCCAUAGAAUCUAAGUUAAUUCUGAAGGCAUAUGCCUUUAAUUCCAUAGCAUCUAAGUUAAUUCUGAAGGCAUAUGCCUUUAAUUCCAUAGCAUCUAAGUUAAUUCUGCAGCCAUAUGCAUUUAAUUCCAUAGCAUCUAAUUAAUUUUGAAGGCAUAUGCCUUUAAUUCCAUAGCAUCUAAGUUAAUUCUGCAGGCAUAUGCCUUUAAUUGCAUUGCAUCUAAUUAAUUUUGAAGGCAUAUGCCUUUAAUUCCAUAGCAUCUAAGUUAAUUCUGCAGGCAUAUGCCUUUAAUUGCAUUGCAUCUAAG